rnacentral:rRNA from 1 species
GACGAACGCUGGCGGCGUGCUUAACACAUGCCAGUCGAACGGAAAGGCCCCUUUGGGGGUACUCGAGUGGCGAACGGGUGAGUAACACGUGAGUAACCUGCCCUUGACUUCGGGAUAACUUCAGGAAACUGGGGCUAAUACCGGAUAGGAAUCCUUGCUGCAUGGUGGGGGUUGGAAAGCUUCGGCGGUUUUGGAUGGACUCGCGGCUUAUCAGCUUGUUGGUGGGGUAGUGGCUUACCAAGGCUUUGACGGGUGGCCGGCCUGAGAGGGCGACCGGCCACAUUGGGACUGAGAUACGGCCCAGACUCCUACGGGAGGCAGCAGUGGGGAAUAUUGCACAAUGGGCGGAAGCCUGAUGCAGCAACGCCGCGUGCGGGAUGACGGCCUUCGGGUUGUAAACCGCUUUCAGCAGGGGCGAAGCUUGUGGUGACGGUACCUGCAGAAGAAGCACCGGCUAACUACGUG